rnacentral:tRNA from 1 species
CGCGCAGCACGGCGGGCGGAACCGCCGGGGCUUGCGGCGCGACGGGCUCGUCCUCCCAGGGCGCGAUCAUGCGCGGCUGCGCGG